rnacentral:lncRNA from 1 species
GAAAAUCUUGGCGUAGAUAUGGAGUAAAUAUUGAUGUCUCCAAAAUCUCCUCCAAAUUUAUACUAUGGCAUAAACAAGUUAAAUGUAGGUCUCUUCCUCACCAUCUAUCUUAGGUCUCUUUCUCAUAUUUUCCUCCAAUCUCUACUGCUGGGAAGGCAAGGGACAUGGAGGGGGAGAGAUCACCCCAAGUAGGCACAGGCUUGAAAGUCCAAGAUCAAGGUACCAGCAUCUGGUGAGGACUGCAAUCGACUUCCAAGAUGAUGCCUUGAAUGCCAUACCCACCAGAAGGGAGGUACACUGUGUGUCCUCACAUGGCAGAAGGCAGAAGGGAACAGAGAGACAGACGCCUUCCAUCAAGCCCUUUGAUUACAGCAUGAAUACAUAAAUGAGAGUGGAGCUUUCAUGACCUGAAUGCCUCCCCAAAGGCCCCACCUUCCAACACUGUUGCAGUGGGAUUAAUUUUCUAACAUAUGAAUUUUGGGGGACACAUUCAGACCAUAGCAGCAAAGCUGUAGACUAAUUGAAGAAUUAGUCUGUAGGCAUAUAAGUACAAUAAAAUGUUCUGAGAAAAGGUUGUGUAUGACACUGCAAUGUAGGAAGUGUGUUGAAUUUGUGCUUGUUGAGUAAAAAAGUAAAUCAUAUUUGCUAAAUAUUUUGUCUUCAUUAUCAACUGAUCUGUAUAAACAAUAAAAGUAUGUAUUAUCUU